rnacentral:rRNA from 1 species
GUCGCACGAGAAAGGGGCAACCUGAGUAAAGUGGCGUACGGGUGAGUAACACGUGGGUGAUCUACCUCUUAGUGGGGAAUAACCCUGGGAAACCGGGGCUAAUACCGCAUAAGCUCGAGAGAGGAAAGCAGCGAUGCGCUGAGAGAGGAGCCCGCGGCCGAUUAGCUAGUUGGCAGGGUAAGAGCCUACCAAGGCAGAGAUCGGUAGCCGGCCUGAGAGGGCACACGGCCACACUGGCACUGAAACACGGGCCAGACUCCUACGGGAGGCAGCAGUGGGGAAUCUUGCACAAUGGGGGAAACCCUGAUGCAGCGACGCCGCGUGAGCGAUGAAGCCCUUCGGGGUGUAAAGCUCUUUCGGCAGGGAAGAUGAUGACGGUACCUGCAGAAGCAGCUGCGGCUAACUACGUGCCAGCAGCCGCGGUAAUACGUAGGCAGCGAGCGUUGUUCGGAGUUACUGGGCGUAAAGGGUGUGUAGGCGGUUCUUUAAGUUUGGUGUGAAAUCUCCCGGCUCAACCGGGAGGGUGCGCCGAAUACUGAGGGACUCGAGUGCGGGAGAGGAAAGUGGAAUUCCUGGUGUAGCGGUGAAAUGCGUAGAUAUCAGGAGGAACACCGGUGGUGUAGACGGCUUUCUGGACCGUAACUGACGCUGAGACACGAAAGCGUGGGUAGCAAACAGGAUUAGAUACCCUGGUAGUCCACGCCCUAAACGAUGCAUAUUUGGUGUGGGUCAUUCAGUUGAUCCGUGCCGGAGCUAACGCGUUAAAUAUGCCG